AUCUCACAUAAUCUACAGUAUUAUAAUAUUGUUCUGUUUCUGAUAAUGUUUUAAAAUCAUUAAUUAUGUUCCUGCAUUUAUAUUUCUAGCAACUUCAUUUAAUGGGAAAUCCUAAUAUGUUUGCUCUUUAUUGAUUUGCAGUUGAUAUAAUUUCUGACAUUGAGUUUGAUAAAACUGGCGACCAUCUUGCUACUGGUGACCGUGGGGUUAGAGUGGUAUUAUUUGAAAGGAGUGAUACAAAGGAGCUUGUUGGAAGUCGAAGAGAGUUAGAGAGGACAGACUAUCCUGUUAGUCGGCACCCAGAGUUCCGGUACAAGACAGAAUUUCAAAGCCAUAAACCUGAGCUAUGUUAUGAAGUCUCGCGAUUCUGAAGUCCCUGAA